rnacentral:rRNA from 1 species
AUUGAACGCUGGCGGCAGGCUUAACACAUGCAAGUCGAGCGAGCGGCGGACGGGUGAGUAAUGUCUGGGAAACUGCCUGAUGGAGGGGGAUAACUACUGGAAACGGUAGCUAAUACCGCAUACCAUCAGAUGUGCCCAGAUGGGAUGAGCUAGUGGGUGGGGUAAUGGCUCACCUAGGCGACGAGCCCUAGCUGGUCUGAGAGGAUGCCAGGCGACACGAGAACGGAGGCACGGUCCAGGCUCCGACGGGGGGCGGGAGUGGGGAAUAGUGCACAAUGGGCGCAAGCCUUAUGCAGCCAUGCCGGGUGUGUGAAGAUGGCCUUCGGGUUGUAAAGCACUGUCAGCGGGGAGGCGUUACCCGCAGGAGAAGCGCCGGCUAACUCCGUGCCAGCAGCCGCGGUAAUAC